rnacentral:rRNA from 1 species
UACGUAGGGUGCAAGCGUUAAUCGGAAUUACUGGGCGUAAAGCGUGCGCAGGCGGCUUUGCAAGACAGAUGUGAAAUCCCCGGGCUUAACCUGGGAACUGCAUUUGUGACUGCAUGGCUCGAGUGCGGCAGAGGGGGAUGGAAUUCCCAGUGUAGCGGUGAAAUGCGUAGAUAUUGGGAGGAACACCAGUGGCGAAGGCGGCUCACUGGACCGGUACUGACGCUGAUGCGCGAAAGCGUGGGGAGCAAGCGGG